rnacentral:rRNA from 1 species
ACGAAAGUCUGACGGAGCAACGCCGCGUGAGUGAAGAAGGUUUUCGGAUCGUAAAGCUCUGUCUUUGAGGACGAAUGUGCUUAAUGUGAAUAAUGUUAAGUAAUGACGGUACUCGAGGAGGAAGCCACGGCUAACUACGUGCCAGCAGCCGCGGUAAUACGUAGGUGGCAAGCGUUGUCCGGAAUUAUUGGGCGUAAAGCGCGCGCAGGCGGGAUAUUAAGUCUGUUUUAAAAGUUCGGGGCUCAACCCCGUGAUGGAAUGGAAACUAAUAUUCUUGAGUGCAGGAGAGGAAAGUGGAAUUCCCAGUGUAGCGGUGAAAUGCGUAGAUAUUGGGAGGAACACCAGUGGCGAAGGCGACUUUCUGGACUGUGUCUGACGCUGAGGCGCGAAAGCCAGGGGAGUGAACGGGAUUAGAUACCCCGGUAAUCCUGGCCGUAAACGAUGGGUACUAGGUGUAGGAGGUAUCGACCCCUUCUGUGCCGGAGUUAACGCAAUAAGUACCCCGCCUGGGGAGUACG